CCCUUAGAUGUUCUGGGCCGCACGCGCGCUACACUGACGAAUGCAACGAGCUUAUAACCUUGGCCGAAAGGUCUGGGUAAUCUCCAAAUUUCGUCGUGAUGGGGAUAGAUUAUUGCAAUUAUUAAUCUUCAACGAGGAAUGCCUAGUAAACGCAAGUCAUCAGCUUGCAUUGAUUACGUCCCUGCCCUUUGUACACACCGCCCGUCGCACCUACCGAUUGAAUGGUCCGGUGAAAUCUCCGGACUGGCGUGAGUCGGAGCAAUCUGACAAACACCGGAAAGUUGAUUAAACCUUACCAUUUAGAGGAAGGUGAANUCGUAACA
rnacentral:rRNA from 1 species